UACAGUUAUCUGCGAAAAUAGGGAAGAUGAUCUAUUACUAGCUUCCUUAAAUCGAGUUUGCUAGCCAGGUUAUGGCGAGUCUAAUCUGGUGGAGGAGAUAUUAACACGAUGUUGUUUAUGAAUCUAUUUUAGCUACUUCAAUUGAUCUCUGUACCCAAAUUUAUCUCCGAAUGCCAAGUGAUUCUGGAAAGUGAUGGAAGGUGCUCACUGGUGAUUCCAAAUCUCCUGUUUCUGGAAAGGAUUCUAGCCAUCGAGAAGAACGGGAACAUUAGAGUCCUGCUGCCGUCUAAAGAACAACGAAGAAGAUGAAGAAGCUUGGAAGAAGCCACUUGGUGCAACACUCAAGCAUUUGGGUCUAUUUGCUAGUGCAUCUGCCAGGAAUUACUGUCGACAAUGUUACCAUCAGGUUAACAUCAGGUAGAAAGAGUAAAGAAGUUUACCAUCUUUGUCAGCCAAUAAGAUAUGCAACAUUCUCAAGCAAACUCUUGUAUUGAUCUCAAAGGCCAGAA